AUCUGAGAAACAAAUGCAAACCCUAUUUCAUGAUCAAAGUUCAUAAAAAAGGAGUUUCAAAACAAAUUGUUUUGCCAUUCCAACAAAAAUGAACAUAUGGGAUGCUUUGGAAACAAAAAAAUGACAAAUUUUCACCUAGAUCUCGUAACAGACACUUCAGAUGAAGGCUUUCUCAGGUAUCCAGUUGUAAUUAUUCAUCCUAUUCAUAGAAUCAUUUUAAUGACAAAGCAACUUAACUAUCUAAUCACAUCAUCGCUGCUCUGCUUUUAUGGAAAUAUGAUGAUUAUGCUAAGAAGCAUUUUCAAAAGAAACUGUAGCCCAAAACCUCUUCCCCAGUGGACAUAAGAUUUCCAAACUGGGUUAGCAGCCAGGGCAUGUGACAGAAACAAACAACCUUGUUGAGACCAAGAAAAAAGUGACAGUUUGACCCAUUAGGAGGGAAAGGAGGCAGUAAGUGGAGGCACUAGCAGUUCCCAGCUUUGCUGCUCUACUAUGAGGA
rnacentral:lncRNA from 1 species